CCCUAUAAAGCUUAAUAAUUUAGUAUAUAAUUAGAUGAGUUGAAAGUUUAAUAUUAUUUAUAUACUAAAUUAUUUCGUUGGGGCGACGAUGAUAUAAUUUGUAACUGUUUAAAUUUAAAAUACAGAGAUAUUUGUGUGUAAUGAUCCUUGUUGUUGAUUAAAAAUUUAAGUUACUUUAGGGAU
rnacentral:rRNA from 1 species